GAAAUAAAUACAAGCACUGCUUUUUAUGCUCACGACAAUAAGGAGUGUGCAGAUUUGACAGCGUCACAGCUUGUUUUUGCUUCCGUGUGCGCACUCCGCACCGGCUCUUUCUUCUGGCGAGGAAUCUGAACGUGACACGGGAAAAUGCUCAUUACUGCCACCUAGACUCUGGAGGACCGGAGGUCAGUUCAGACAGUGUCUCGCACAAGCCGCUAGAUGUCACCGCCGCCAUUUUGGACGAGGAGAGCAAAAAAGAAUUCUAUUUUGUUUCAGGACUCCUCGAAAACUAUCCUCUUUUAAUCAGAAAUCCACCUCACAUCAAGCUUUUUUCAGCCUUUUCCGGACCAUCAAAUGACUGAUUAAGGAUAAUCAAACACAGCAAUAAUGUAGACCUAAGCACUUGGAGAGGAUGUUACAUCAGAAAUCCACCUCACAUCAAGCUUUUUCCGCCUCUUUCGGACCAUAAAAUGACUGAUUAAGGAUAAUCAAGCACAGCAAUAAUGUAGGCCUAUGCACUUGGAGAGGAUGUUACAUCAGAUAUCCACCUCACAUCAAGCUUUUUCCGCCUCUUCCGGACCAUAAAAUGACUGAUUAAGGAUAAUUAAGCACAGCAAUAAUGUAGGCCUAUGCACUUGGAGAGAAUGUUACAUCAGAAAUCCACCUCACAUCAAGCUUUUUCCGCCUCUUCCGGACCAUAAAAUGACUGAUUAAGGAUAAUCAAACACAGCAAUAAUGUAGGCCUAUGCACUUGGAGAGGAUGUUACAUCAGAAAUCCACCUCACGUCAAGCUUUUUCCGCCUCUUCCGGACCAUAAAAUGACUGAUUAAGGAUAAUCAAGCACAGCAAUAAUGUAGGCCUAUGCACUUGGAGAGGAUGUUACAUCAGAAAUCCACCUCACAUCAAGGUUUUUCCGCCUCUUCCGGACCAUAAAAUGACUGAUUAAGGAUAAUCAAACACAGCAAUAAUGUAGGCCUAUGCACUUGGAGAGGAUGUUACUUCAGAAAUCCACCUCACGUCAAGCUUUUGUCAGCCUUUUCCGGACCAUAAAAUGACUGAUUGAGGAUAAUCAAGCAUAGCAAUAAUGUAGGCCUAAGCACUUGGAGAGGAUGUUACAUCAGAUGCACAGUCUGACAUGCCUCUGCUUUUAAUGCGCCCGUUUCACAGACGUACUGCCUUUAAAGCAGCUGUUUCUGUGCGCACUCACUAAAUGGCCUGGUGUUGGAGAUCGGGAAUCUUUGAGUCCUGCAGAGCCGGGAACAUCCAAAAGAG